AGUGAAGAGAAAGAACAGGAACAAGACAUAAUAUGACAAUACAUGACACUAUAACUGAUUCAAGUAUUUUUAGCCAGACCCUAACUGGUAUGUUGAAUUUGAUGUUCCUUUUGAUGGCAUAGAAGGCCCUUCUUGCCUUGUCUCUCAGAUUGUUCAAAGCUUUGUGGAAGUUACCUGUUGCGCUGAUGUUUAGACCGAGGGCCCAGGUCCGACAGAAUCUGUGCAUAAGAUCUAGGUGCUGCUGUAGGCCCUCCUUGGUUGGUGACAGAAGCACCAGAUGUCGUCUGGAGAUAGAGAGGAGGACCAAGAUGCGGCAUGAUAAAAUGAAGUGUUUCCAACUGAUAAAAUUAUCAUCAGACCAUGAUUCUAGACUACUAUCAUCAUCAUCAACACCACCACCACUAUCAUCACCAUCACCACCAGUAGAAGGGGAUUCAGGUUCAGCAGACUCUCUUUUUCAGGAACUACAGAACUAAGAUAAGAAGUUAGUGGAGAUGAAGAUGUUCCUCCCACCAGAACUGUUUUCUUUAACUGUCUGCUGUGACUGAGUAUUUCAAACUCUCUUCACUUCAUUAUUUAUUUAAACUUCAUUCCUGCAUUAAUUAAUGUUUUCUA
ensembl:lncRNA